CCAAAUGGACCCUCAAUGUCUUUGGUCCUUCACUUCGUUGAGGUCCAUUAGGCAUAACUAUUGUCCCUAUCGAUGUCGGCAAAACUUAUAUCUUGCACCCAAUAGGGCCAUUUUGCUAUUACUAAUCUGCAUGGUGUGCUCACAUUGCCAGGCCACAAAACACUGUAUGUACCAAAACAGGCCCAGAGUGGGUCAUGUGAAAACUGAU
rnacentral:lncRNA from 1 species